rnacentral:lncRNA from 10 species
ACUCAGCACUGUGUUCCACAUUUUCCAGUUAAACACACAUGCCCUGUUGUCUGGGGUAGUGGUUCUCAAAAGCAGCCUACAAGCGGGUCAGGAAGGCAGUCUCACAAAGCAUGAAUGUAAAGUCUAUUCCACGCUGUGGGUUACAGCAGUACAGAAAUGAUAACAUGGGCAGACUGUUUCUCUAUUGGUAUGAAGAAAGCAGCAGAGAGGUACUUUUGGGGGCUUUUUGCCAUGCCUAUCAAAGGGGCCUAAAUGUUGAAAAAUAAAUAUUUUGAGAACCACUGCUGUAGGACCUGACCAAAAAAAAAAACAAAAAAAAAACCUGUGGUAAAAAGCAUACAGAUCAUCAGAUUAACAUUGACCAAUCUCAUCAGCAUCUCAAUACUAUCUUUAGAUUGUGGACUGAUGGCGGGUCCACAGAUCACCAGAGAGAACUUGCUUUAUCUGUCAACCUUCAGCCUAAAGUGAGUAGGUCAGUAAUGAGUUUCUAGUAUUGGUAAAGUCAGUGUCUUAAAUGGAAAAGCAAGUGGGCAGUUGUAUGUUUUCACACAAGUGGUGUUAAGUAAUAAGAAAUGGAGGUGGGGGUACAUUUUUGGAAAGUGAAGUCUUUAUAAAAAGUAAAGACAGUAUUUUCUGAAAUGUUUGAAGGAGGGGAUUUAGCAAGCAGGGAUGAAGAAAAGGCAUUUAGGAUCUUGUCUAUGGUCUGGAAAAAGCUUAUAGGUACAAAAAAUAUUAGAUAUUGGGAGAGUUAAAAAGUUAUUUGGGGGAUAGGCAAGGAGAGGAAAGAACAGGCUCAGAUGUGAAGACCAUAUACGACAGAUUGGGUAAUAAGACUUUCAUCUGCUCAGUCUUGACUUUAAAUUCCAUCCAUUCAUCCAUCCACACAUGUAGUGACUGUCAAUACAUGUUGACAUUACACGUAAAGGUAUAAGCUUAUGUGCCAGACACUUGGAUAAAAAGAUGACUGAGACAUGAUCUCUGUCUCUAGGAGCUGUCUAGGAGUUAAAUAAGUGUGUGGGCUGUGUGUGUGUGUGAUCUAUCUAUGACUUUACAACUCAAUGCCAUAGAUCCUUUAAGUUUUAAGAGAGUGCCAUGUGAGGGUGCGGGAUUAACAAAUAGCCUGGGAAAACUGUAAAAAAUGUGAAACGAUAUAAUAGUUUAACUGGCUCUCAAAAGAUGCAAAAGAGCUUUGGCAAGCAGAGGAAGAUGUACAAACAGGCAAAAGGAAAGAGGCCAGAAAGUCCACCGGGCAGCUGGAAACAGUAAGAGGCAUGCUAAUGCCUAGGUGCUGAGAAGAUAAUUUGUUUAGGAAUAAAUUGUAAAAUACCUUGUAUUUCAAAUGAUUUUCCAACAGGCUCUGGUGAGCUGAGGCAGUCAAGAGAUUGAAAGGUUAGAGAUAAGCUAGAUAAGCUGCCAGGUCUCAACCACCUGGGGGAGACCAUGACAAAGUAAGAGACACUUAUGAGGUAUUUCCAGAAAGCUUUGUUAGAAUAAUAAUUAAAGAAAAGGGUAUGUCACUAGGGCAAAAGAUUAGAAAGAAGGCAAAAGAGAUGGAUCUGUACAGGCUAACUGCAGCAGUCUAUGCAGGUCUGGACUGAACUGAGAAGCAAUGGGUGCAGCAUAGUGUGUAGGACAUCGAGGAAAGCUGGGCAGUGAGUGCCAAAAUAAGCAAUACACACCUACCUGGAAAAUCGUGUUGAGUCUGUGGGAAUGCUGUACAAAUGGUGGGAGGGAGUUUUUCUCUAGGACAAAUUCAGAAAGGGAAGGAGGAAUGGUACUGGAAAGCAACAUUAGAGUUGUCCUCAGAUGAAAAGGAGUUGGUCACUAAGGAAUGACACACAUCAACAGGAAGGUAAGACAGCAUUGCUGGGCCAAAAGUCAUAAGAGAGUAUGAAAUAAGAGACUGGAAGCAAAGGAAAGAAAAUAUUACAUAAGGAAGGGCCUACUGGCAGAGCAGGUGUGGAAUAAAGAUUUAGAAUGGGGUAUCCUGUCUAGGUCUAAAUGGUCGGCUGCAUGGGAAAUACACAGAAAGGGUUAAGGAGCAAGGAAUUCAGUAGGAGGCAGCAGCAGACUAGCUCUUAAAGCUUUUGAGGGAAUGGCUAAUUAAAGGACUUGCUUGAUAGGAAAGUUAUAAACUGAUGAAUGCUGAUAAAAAGCUAUAGAUGGGCCGGGUGCAGUGGCUCACGCCUGUAAUCCCAGCACUUUGGGAGGCUGAGGCAGGUGGAUCACCUGAGGUUGGGAGUUCAAGACUAGCCUGGCCAACAUGGUGAAACACUGUGUCUUCUAAAAAAAAAAAAAAAAAAAAAAAAAUACAAAAUUAGCCGGGCGUGGUGGCCCAUGCUUGUAAUCCCAGCUACUUGGGAGGCUGAGGUAGGAGAAUCACUUGAACCCAGGAGGCAGAGGUUGUGGUAAGCCGAGUUGGUGAGCCUUGUUAACUCUCCUUGUUAAUACACAACUCUCCUUGUUAAUAUACAACUCUGACAAUUUAACAUGAGCCAAGCCCCAUUGCACUCCAGCCUGGGCAACAAGAGCAAAACUCCAUCUAAAAAAAAAAAACAAAAAACAACAAAAAAGCUAUAGAUGGCAACUUUAGAAAUAUUAGGCUUGAUUUAUUAAGAGAGUGUGAACAUGUAGUUUGUCCAGAGAAUGGAUUAUUGCUACUAGAUGGGGAAUGGGUGAUUAUGAAGAGUGAAGUAAAAAAGUCUAUAUCUAUUUCUGUAGAGAUGGUAAGGCCGGGUGCAGUGGCUCACACUUGUAAUUCCAGCAUUUUGGGAGGCUGAGGCUGGCAGAUCACUUGAGGUCAGGAGUUUGAGACCAGCCUGGCCAAGAUGGUGAAACCCCGUCUCUACUAAAAAUUUUUGUAAAAAUACAAAAAUUAGCUGGGCGUAGUGGCACAUGCCUGUAAUCCUGGAGGUUUCAGUGAGCCAAAAUCACGCCACUGCACUCUAACCUGGGUGACAGAGUGAGUUUCCGUCUCAAAAAAAGAAAAAAGAGAGAGAUGGCAAGUGAAAGGAUGACUGACAGUUAAGAUAUCGUAGACUAUUGCACAGUGUUCCACUGAAGUUGCCUAGAAGUUACUCUGCUAUGUGAGGAUUGGCUAAAAGUGACAGACAUUUCCUAGGGAAACAUGAAUGAAAAUAUCACAGGGGAAGAGAAAGAGAAGAUGGAGGCUGGAAGCUAAAAGAUGAAAAGAUGUAGGAUUUAGGCUGGAGUGUGGAAUAUAAAGUGUGGGUAGGGGCUGGGCACGGUGGCUCAUGCCUGUAAUCCCAGCACUUCAGGGGACUGAGACAGGUGGAUCAUUUGAGGUCAGGAGUUUGAUACCAGCCUCGCCAACAUGGUGAAACCCCAUCUCUACUAAAAAUGCAAAAAGUAGCUGGGCGUGGUGGCAGGUGCCUGUGAUCCCAGCUACUUGGGAGGCUGAGGCAGUAGAAUCACUUGAGCCCGGGAGGUGGAGGAUGCAGUGAGCCGAGAUCAGGCCACACUGCACUCCAGCCUGGGUGACAAGAGUGAAAUAAUUCUGUCUAAAAAAAAAAAAAAAAAAAUAUAUAUAUAUAUAUAUAUAUAUAUAUAUAUAUGUGUGUGUGUGUGUGUGUAUAUAUAUAUAUAUAUGUGUGUGUGUGUGUAUAUAUAUAUAUACACAUAUACAUAUAUAUGUAUGGGUAGGGAAGGGCAUUAAAGAGGGCCAGAAUGAGGAACACCAGAAGAUGGCAGAGCUGCAUAUGCAGUAGAGAGAUGUGAGUUAAGCUGGGUUACAACCAAAGAAGGAAAGAGAAUACAAAGAGUAAGUAGAUAAAUAAGAACUGGUGUCAUGAGGAAGUGCCAUCUGGGAAUCUUUGCUUGAAUGAUGUUUGAAGCAACAAGUGUGACCAAUAGAGUGAAAGGUCAAGGAGUUUAAAUGGAAUGGAUUCUUGCCAUAGGCAGUGGCAGGAACCCUAUGAAGGUCUGGAAUGAACUGAAAGUGCAAGUGUUUUCAGAGUAGUGUGGAGGUGACGAGGAAGAAAAGACUAAAUUCAUGAGAAUGAUACACAAGAUGAUAGCUGAAAAAACAAGUGACUAACAGUUGUUCUACUAGGGUCAACUGGGGAAAAUAGUGGAAGAGCCUGCAGAAGAGACGGAGUCAUUUGAAGAUUGGCAGGUAUUGACUGGAGGGAUACGGCCCCAUAAGUGUAAGAUUAAAUAAGGAGAGACUGGAAACUGUGUAAAGGGAGAACUAUACAAAGAGUAGGUAAGCGUAGGUGGAGUGGCAUGGACAGGUAAAAUGAGGAAAGUGUUUCCCAGAAUGGGAAAUCUUGUAAACCCUUAAAAAAUGUGGGUUUAUUCAGUCAAAUGUUGGCUCUUAAUUGCAGACUUUGAAAAGCAGUAGAUACAAUGGAAGAAGAACAAGUGCUUGAAAAGUAAUGCGAAGCUUUUGUGAGAAGUUUAAUGAGAAGGAUUAGAAGGAGAUGGAUUAAGAUGAGCCCUAAUAGGGCAGCACUUAAAGACACCAGGAUAGAUCUUUGAGUAGUUUGUAGAAUGGAUGACUAAUAUUGGAAGAGGAGUGGCUGGAGAUCAUGUUGGAAACCCAUCUCAAGGGUGAAACUUCUUUGUUUCCAGGUACAGAUGGUAGAUGAAAUUUUACUCUAUAUAAUUAAGGGAGGGCAAAUCACCAAAGGGGAGAAACAAAUGAAUAUCAUGUAAGUGCGGUAUUAAAGUUACUCUUAGAAGUUACUCUGUCAUGUGAAGAUUUUCUACAGAUGAGAGACAGACACUAGAGAGAAUUUGGCUAGGAAGUGCCAUUCAGGAGGAGACAGAGUCCAUCUGAAUGAAAUAUGGACAGCAGCUAAAAGAAGGGAGGCUGAAGAUAAGGUAGCGUACAUCUUUAGGGCAAGAUAGGUAACAAGGAGAAAAGGAAUAGGAGAAAACAUUAAAGUUGACU